UCAUGAUACAAAUACACACUGAAGAUGCUGAGCUUAUGGAUGGAGCUAAAACGAGUAAUUACUGAGCAGGUCAGGUUCUAAGCAGCUAUCAGUGUACAGUGUACAUCUUGUGUACAUCAAGUGUACAUUCAGGGUACAUCAAGUGUACACUCGAGGUACAUCAAGUGUACAAUAUGCAUUGAGUGUGCUUACAAUGUAUAGCAAGUAUACAUACAGCGUACAGUCAUUGUGCACUCAGUGUGCAGUCAUCGUGCACUCAGUGUACAGUCUGCUUGCACUCAGUGUACAGUCAUCGGGCACUCAGUGUACAGUCUGCUUCCACUCAGUGUGCAGUCAGUGUGCACUACGUGUACAGUCAGCGCGCACUCAGUGUACAGUCAGCAGUGCACAGUCAGCGUGCACUCAGUGUACAGUCAGCUUGCACUCAGUGUGCAGUCAGUGUCACUCAGUGUACGGUCAGCGUGCACUCAGUGUACAGUCAGCGUGCACUCACAGUCAGCGUGCACAGUCUCAGUGCACUCAGUGUACAGUCAGCAUGCACUCAGUGUACAGUCAGCUUGCACUCAGUGUACAGU